rnacentral:rRNA from 1 species
UAUCUCUGUAGAGUCUGCAUAUCAAUAAGCGGAGGAAAAGAAACUAACUAGGAUUCCCUCAGUAACGGCGAGUGAAGCGGGAAGAGCUCAAAUUUGAAAUCUUCAAGGUUCUACCUUGACGAAUUGUAGUUUAAAGAAGUGUUUUCUGUUGGAGUUUUGGUAAAAGUUCUUUGGAAUAGGACAUCAUAGAGGGUGAGAAUCCCGUAUUUGACCAUUAUUUCCAACUUUGUGAUACACUUUCAAAGAGUCGGAUUGUUUGGGAAUGCAGUCCAAAAUGGGUGGUAAAUUUCAUCUAAAGCUAAAUACUGGCGAGAGACCGAUAGCGAACAAGUACCGUGAGGGAAAGAUGAAAAGAACUUUGAAAAGAGAGUUAAACAGUACGUGAAAUUGUCAAAAGGGAAGCGUUUGACACCAGUGUUGUUUUUCUCGAAAAUCAAUUAAAAAUGGCGGGAUUUUGUGUUGUAUUGACUUUAUCAGCUUUCUGCACUUUUUUCUUGUCUUUUUUAAUGCACUUUUCGUUUAACAAGUCAACAUCAAUUUCUUUUGUUGUAAAAGGGUCAUUGGAAGGUGGCUUUCUUUUCGGAGAAAGUGUUUAUAGCCUUUGGCUUCUGCAAUCGGGAGAGAUUGAGGUCUGCAGCGUAGAUCCUUCGGGGUUAGAUACAUUUGUGCUAAGUUAUAGCCUUUCAUAGACAACUUGUUGACUAUGAUCAGUUCAUGUAGCUUACUCGCUUAUGUCAUUUUACCUACGCUUAGGAUGUUGAUCUCUCACAGUCGAGC